AUUAGCUUAGUGUAGUACUUGCACGCUGGCUUUUCGAGCCAAAGGCACUAGUAAGUAGCUAAUU
rnacentral:tRNA from 1 species